rnacentral:rRNA from 1 species
GACGAACGCUGGCGGCGUGCUUAACACAUGCAAGUCGAACGGUAAGGCCUUCGGGUACACGAGUGGCGAACGGGUGAGUAACACGUGGGUGAUCUGCCCUGCACUUCGGGAUAAGCUUGGGAAACUGGGUCUAAUACCGGAUAGGACCACGCGCUUCAUGGUGUGUGGUGGAAAGCUUUUGCGGUGUGGGAUGGGCCCGCGGCCUAUCAGCUUGUUGGUGGGGUAAUGGCCUACCAAGGCGACGACGGGUAGCCGGCCUGAGAGGGUGACCGGCCACACUGGGACUGAGAUACGGCCCAGACUCCUACGGGAGGCAGCAGUGGGGAAUAUUGCACAAUGGGCGCAAGCCUGAUGCAGCGACGCCGCGUGAGGGAUGACGGCCUUCGGGUUGUAAACCUCUUUCAGCAGGGACGAAGGGUGACUGACGGUACCUGUAGAAGAAGGACCGGCCAACUACGUGCCAGCCGCCGCAGUAAAAC